ACGUCAUGGGAGUUGUCAAUGCUUGAAGUCCGUGGGCUGACCCACGCAAGUGGGAGGCAGCGGCCGAGGGCAGGGGCAGCGACUGGACG
rnacentral:rRNA from 1 species